UACGAAGGGGGCUAGCGUUGUUCGGAAUUACUGGGCGUAAAGCGCACGUAGGCGGGUUGUUAAGUCAGGGGUGAAAUCCUGGAGCUCAACUCCAGAACUGCCUUUGAUACUGAGGAUCUUGAGUACGGGAGAGGUGAGUGGAACUGCGAGUGUAGAGGUGAAAUUCGUAGAUAUUCGCAAGAACACCAGUGGCGAAGGCGGCUCACUGGCCCGUAACUGACGCUGAGGCACGAAAGCGUGGGGAGCAAACAGGG
rnacentral:rRNA from 1 species